rnacentral:rRNA from 1 species
CCUACGGGAGGCAGCAGUGGGGGAUAUUGCACAAUGGGGGAAACCCUGAUGCAGCGACGCCGCGUGGGUGAAGAAGUAUUUCGGUAUGUAAAGCUCUAUCAGCAGGGAAGAAGAAAUGACGUUACUUGAUUAAGAACCACCGGCUAAAUACGUGCCAGCAGCCGGGGUAAUACGUAGGGUGCAAGCGUUAUCCGGAUUUACUGGGUGUAAAGGGGGCGCAGCCGGCGUGGCAAGCCUGAUGUGAAAGCCGUGGGCCCAACCGCGGAACUGCAUUGGAAACUGCCGGGCUGGAGUGCCGGAGAGGUAGGCGGAAUUCCUAGUGUAGCGGUGAAAUGCGUAGAUAUUAGGAGGAACACCAGUGGCGAAGGCGGCCUGCUGGACGGAAACUGACGCUGAGGCUCGAAAGCGUGGGGAGCAAACAGGAUUAGAUACCCUUGUAGUC